rnacentral:lncRNA from 1 species
ACAUGCUAGGAUUCUCAAUUUUUUUUUUUAAAUCUUUCUUAGUUGGAGUAUAAAUUCUGAAACAGAUCCAUUUUUUUCUCUUCAGUAUGUUUGGAAACACAUUAAAAUAGAACCAUAAUCAAGCAACCCAAUCCUCAAAUUUUUGUCCUAGUGAGUAUCUGGAAAACAGGUGCAGAAAUGGAUCAUUUGAGACACCAUAGAAAUCUGGUUAAUCCUGCCUGCUUUCCUU